CAUAUUGUUGACAGUAAUUGAAGAGUAGAAGGCAUUUAACUCUUCAACUCAACUUGACCUCAAUCCAUGUGAUUGAGUCUGUUGUAUGAAUCCUUUUCUUCCAUUUUGCUUGGUUUGGGAUACUUUUCAGUAAGGUCUAAUGAUGUUAAAACUGUAUUGACUUAUUCUGCCUAUGUCACGCACGCAUGACCUAUGAUACAACAUGAAGAACCAAGAGUGCAAUCACUCAUUUGAAACUAAUGUUUUUUGUGUAUAGAACGCUAUAGAUACCAGUGUCUACAAAAAGUUCGAGAAACAUAAACCGUUUUGAAACAUAGAAGAAUAUUACUUGGUUAAUAUUUGGGUUCUAUAUGCAUGUGUAUAUACUAUGAAGGUUUAUAUACACAUGUAUACAUAGGCACACACGCACACUUCUUCAUGAUUAGGAUCAUGUAUAUAUAGGCACACACGCACACUUCUUCAUGAUUAGGAAAAAUGGACUGGUGAAAACUGGAAAGACAUUGAUUUUGCUUCCAUACUGGCUCCCUUUUAACCAAUCAUUGAUUUACUAUAUUCUACGACGUUUGAGCAUCCAUUCCUGACUUAUAAGUACAGGUGUAAAUGAGCAGAGCUAGCCAUGAAUAGCUCAGGUUUGUCUUGAUGCUUCAUUUUUAAGCUUGAGCUCAGAUCAUUUGAAAUAUUUAAACUUGAUCUCCACUCACUUAAGCUCGUUUAUAACAUAAACUAGUCAAACUUGAGCUCGACUCAUUUGUAACAUAAAUGAGCCUAGUUCAAGCUCUGAUCAUCUUAUAAUAUAAAUGAUCCAAAUUCAAGCUUGCAAGUCGGUAGAAAAUUUUUUAAAUAAUAAAAAAAUGGCAAUCUAGAGCCCAUUAUGAUCCACAGGAAGCUUUGACAUAAUUUUGAUCCCAUUAAAGUUCCACUAGGGU
rnacentral:lncRNA from 1 species